rnacentral:hammerhead_ribozyme from 1 species
AUCCAACUGACAAAUCCCAAACAGGACGAAAUGUGCAUAUUGGAU